CAAAAACAACAGAUCAUUGUGUAAGCCACCUCUGCUGUAAAAACCCGAGUCAUUGUACGGUGGCGUGACUGGUAGAGAUAUAUUUAAAUCCCUCUGGCAAACGGAGCUAAUCUAAACCGUGAUGCGAGCCAAUGACAUUUUAGGUAAAUUGACGAUGACGGAGAAACGGGGUUGAACGACACAAUGAGUGAUCUAUUUGACUGUUUUCAUCUCUGGAUAUGUGACCGGGGAGUUUAUUUUAGCAUCCUUUAUUUAACUAGGCAAGUCAGUUAUUAACGACACGUUCUUAUUUACAAUCACGGCCUACUCCGGCCAAACCCGGACGACGCUGGGCCAAUUGUGCGCCGCCCCUUGGGACUCCUACUCACGGCCGGAUGUGAUACAGCCUGGAUUCGAACCAGGACCUGAGCCCUAGGACCAUGCCCCAGGACUACCUGACAUGAUGACUCCUUGCUGUCCCCAGUCCACGUGACCGUGCUGCUGCUCCAGUUUCAACUGUUCUGCCUUAUUAUUAUUCGACCAUGCUGGUCAUUUAUGAACAUUUGAACAUCUUGGCCAUGUUCUGUUAUAAUCUCUACCUGGCACAGCCAGAAGAGGACUGGCCACCCCACAUAUGCUCUCUCUAAUUCUCUCUUUCUUUCUCUCUCUCGGAGGACCUGAGCCCUAGGACCAUGCCCCAGGACUACCUGACAUGAUGACUCCUUGCUGUCCCCAGUCCACCUGACCGUGCUGCUGCUCCAGUUUCAACUGUUCUGCCUUAUUAUUAUACGACCAUGCUGGUCAUUUAUGAACAUUUGAACAUCUUGGCCAUGUUCUGUUAUAAUCUCCACCCGGAACAGCCAGAAGAGGACUGGCCACCCCACAUAGCCUGGUUCCUCUCUAGGUUUCUUCCUAGGUUUUGGCCUUUCUAGGGAGUUUUUCCUAGCCACCGUGCUUCUACACCUGCAUUGCUUGCUGUUUGGGGUUUUAGGCUGGGUUUCUGUACAGCACUUUGAGAUAUCAGCUGAUGUACUAAGGGCUAUAUAAAUAAAUUUGAUUUGAUUUGAUUUGGUUUAACACCAGGGGUUUAACACCAGGGGGUUUAACACCAAGGCAUUUAACACCAGGGGGUUUAACACCAAAGGGGUUUAACACCAGGGGGUUUAACACCAAGGGAUUUAACACCAGGGGGUUUAACACCAAGGGAUUUAACAGCAAGGGGUUUAACACCAGGGGGUUUAACACCAGGGAAUUUAACACCAGGGGAUUUAACACCAGGGGAUUUAACACCAAUGGAUUUACCACCAGGGAGUUUAACACCAGGGGAUUUAACACCAAUGGAUUUACCACCAGGGGGUUUAACACCAGGGGAUUUAACACCAGGGGU
ensembl:lncRNA